rnacentral:rRNA from 1 species
UACGUAGGGCGCAAGCGUUGUCCGGAAUCAUUGGGCGUAAAGAGCUCGUAGGUGGUCUGUUACGUCUGCUGUGAAAUCCUAGGGCUUAACCCUGGGCCUGCAGUGGAUACGGGCAGACUAGAGGUAGGUAGGGGAGAAUGGAAUUCCCGGUGUAGCGGUGAAAUGCGCAGAUAUCUGGAGGAACACCGGUGGCGAAGGCGGCAUCCUGGACCAAUACUGACACUGAGGAGCGAAAGCCAGGGGAGCAAACGGG